GACAGAGGAUGCAAGCGUUAUCCGGAAUGAUUGGCGUAAAGCGUCUGUAGGUGGCGUUUUCAAGUCCGCCGUCAAUCCCAGGGCUCAACCCUGGACAGGCGGUGGAAACUACCAAGCUGGAGUACGGUAGGGCAGAGGGAAUUUCCGGUGGAGCGGUAGAAAUGCAUUGAGAUCGGAAAGAACACCAACGGCGAAAGCACUACUAGCUGGG
rnacentral:rRNA from 1 species